UACGUAGGGAGCAAGCGUUGUCCGGAAUCAUUGGGCGUAAAGCGCGCGUAGGUGGCCUCAUAAGUCCGCUGUGAAAGUCCAAGGCUCAACCUUGGAAAGCCGGUGGAUACUGUGAGGCUAGAGUACGGAAGAGGCGAGUGGAAUUCCUGGUGUAGCGGUGGAAUGCGCAGAUAUCAGGAGGAACACCAAUAGCGAAGGCAGCUCGCUGGGACGUGACUGACACUGAGGCGCGAAAGCGUGGGGAGCGAACAGG
rnacentral:rRNA from 1 species